rnacentral:lncRNA from 1 species
AGAAGUCUAGAGGAAGUUGAGAUAUCUAUCUUGCUUUCCAUUGAAAACUAUUGUUCCUACUUUGGACCAAUCCAACACUUUAUAAGAGUAUAUGACAGAAAAGUUGCCACUUUGAACUACUCCAGUCCCGCUAUCAUAUUUCCACUUUGUUUUUAUCUGGGGAAACAGUUAAAAAGACACUAUAUUUUUUUAUGUUGGUUGAUUGCUGUCGUUCUGUGUUGUCUUUGAAUUGUCCUAUAUAUGGCUAAUAUCAUGAAAAAGCAAACCAGAAGUUCUAGUGCUCUCUAGUGCAGAUCGAAAUUGAACUGAAAGUCAGAAAAAUGUGUGCUAAUUGGUUACCACUUGAUAAUCUUACAUGUAAAUAUGGCCCCUUUUAGAUUCAAACCCUUAUUCUACUUCACAUUAUUUUGUUGUUAGUGUUUUUUCUUCCUUUUUUUUUUCCAUUCAGAUGUCUCAUUAUUAUUUAAGAAGAGGCCCUGCACAAAUAUUUCUGUCAUUAUCAUGUUUUCAAUAUCCUGCAUAUUUGAUAUGCACGGGAAGUUUAAUUCGGUUACCACUUGAGUGAGCAGGCAUUCUUGGUGAUCGUGAGGAACAAGAAACGUGUUGGAUAUACCUAUGAGUUGACAUUGAAAGUUAAAGGUAAUUUGUUGUCAUUUAAAAUGGCAUCCUUUCCCAUCUUGAUCUAUCUGCUCUAUCCUGAAAGAGUUGUUAUGUCCGUGGAAAUAGGUGAAUGGACUGUCAAAGAGGAGAAAAGGAUGGUGAAGGGUGACAUAGAUUUUCCCGAGUUUUCAUUUGGUGAGCUGGAUGACCUGCAGGUAAGUUCUGUAUUUCCAUCCAAGUGUUUGGAGUAUAGAAUGAAAUCUAGAUGGAAGUGACAGGAAAAUAUUGGGAAAUUUAGGGUGACCUGUGGAAAUAUAGUGCAAAACCCCUCUGUAUGUUAGGCCAGGUUGUUUUUGUGAUGCUUUACUCCCUCCUGCUUGCUCCAUCAUCUUCUCAUCAAAAUAACUAAAAGAUGAGAAAACACUUCAGUUCUUUAUUUAGUAGCGUGGAAUAGAGUAAUUCCUACAGUGAGGGCUUGCUUGUAACCUGUAGUAAUUCCAUGAACAAUUAUAUAGCAGACAAAAGGUCAAAUAGCCCAUAAACUUGCACGAGUCAUAUUAACCGGUGGCACUUUUAUUUUAUCAAACCAUUUCUAUGUGUAUCUAUCUUUAUGGAGGUUUGUGCUAGCCUGUCAGGUUGCACUCAUCUGUAUAUAGACUCUAGUCUAAUGAUUAAUUAAAGGUUUUUAAUGAUAAAUCUUAAUCUUUUGCUCUUGCUAUUCUAGAUGCAAGUACAGCUUAAUGACGAGAAGGAUCUCUCGCAGCAAGAUAAGCUGCAGAUCAGUCAGGAUUUGAAGCUGUUUUUACAGCCUGU